AUCCAGCUGAUGAGUCCCGAAUAGGACAAAAUGAGCAUCAUGGAU
rnacentral:hammerhead_ribozyme from 1 species